ACUAUGUGCUGACUGUACUAGACAGUACUAUGUGUUAAGAUAUAUUGUUCUAAUCGAACGAAUCAUCUGAUUAUUGAUAGGUUGUGAUAAAGAGAUAAAACCUAAGUUGAGAUUUGUAAUCAGUGAAUCAGGCAAGUAUCCUACCUUUGCAUUUCCUUUAUGCAAUGGACAUGAGUAAGAAGUUUCAGAAUUCUUUUCUAUUCCUGUACAGAUUAUGUACGCUUUGAUUAUCAACAUGUUAAUUCAGAUAUAUUUUCUGUUCGUUAAUUUCUAAAUGGUUAUACAAGUGUCCCCACUUGAAUAAUCAUGGCAUUUAUUCACAUGUUGAUACACCUUUGUCAAUUACCCGUAUAUAUAUAUAUGUUGAAUUACAUAUUAUUGUUGAGCAAGAUUAAAAACCUUCGGGUUUGGAACCAGAUAUGUAUAAACAUCCCUAUAUGGGAAAAAUUUUUGCGCCCAAGG
rnacentral:lncRNA from 1 species